UAAAGUAUCUGGAAGGCGAUAUAUCUUCGGUUUUAUUCUUGCAGUUAUCAUAUCUGGCUGUCUUCUUGUUAUAUGGUGGCGCUUGAAAAAAGCAAAGAAAAAGGAAUCACAUAGCGGUGCUAGAGAAAACGAUCAACACGAAUCAGCUGGAGAAAUUGUAAACAAUCUGUAUGGGUCUACCAAUGAUCUAGACGCAUCACCAUCAACAUCUGGUGUCAGAACAGAUGUAUAUUCUUCGAUUAACAGACGCGAGCAAAUGUUAGACAGAAAAAAUGUGACGUACAAUAUUGCUGGAGAAGGCAAAAGAAGUCAAGUGGAGCUUACAGAUGCAAAACAAUGGAAAACGAAUAUUGCAACAUGUUCAUCUGAAUUGAAUUAUGUUGAGGUUGAAUUUGGUCGUGAACAACCAAAAGGUAAAUAUUUGAUUCAUGGAGCAGACAACAGGACACCAUAUGCAGACAUCGACUUUUUAGCAAAAGCAGAGCCACUCAUUAGUUCAGAUGAGGAUGACAAAGGUUCAAAUAGCGGGGUAAACAAUGACGAGGAUUUUGUGUCUCUAGAGGACGUUCAGCAGUGGAACAUUACUGCAGACUGAUAUUUUAUUUUGUCUUUUUAUUUUUUAUCUAUUUUGUUGCUAUCUUAAGUAUUUCAUAAGUUUGUAUUACUAAAUAGAUUGUUAUGGAGUGGGAAGUAAAAAGCAACUUUUGAAAUGUCAAAUGUAUCCGCCCCAUAUGAGAAACUCUCACAGUGGUUGAUUUUGAACAGCUAGUAAAUCGCAUAUAUUUUUUUGAGGAUAUGUUGUUUAUUGAUAGGUCUCCGAUAGCCGCUGUUAUAUUACUAACAUUUUUUUUUUGUAUCUCGGGGCGAUUCAAAGCUUGGCAUAUUGUAAAGACACUGGCACGUUGGCAUCUAGAUAUCUUAAUAUUUUUUUUUUGUCGUUGGGUUGCUCUCCACUCAAUUAUGGGUUUUACUGACAGAUAGGAGAAAACCAAGCUAUCCAUAUCUUUAUAACCCAGUCAAUCCUUGGUUUUUAAUGGUUAUUUUACUCAAGGGAUCAUAUAAA